CUAUGACCACUCCCAACCCAUGAGCACCAUCACCCUCGGGUUCCCAGCAUGCCUACAGUUUGAUGGGCUCAGUGUGGCACAACAACGCACCCUUCCCCCCAUGGAACCCUCCCCCCUGGGCAGACCCGGGUCCUGGCACAUCCUGGCAGAGCAACUGUCACUUCCGCAGCAAUGCCCAUCCCAGUGUCCCCAUCACCACUUCCUCACCCAAACGCACACCCGCAUCCUUCCCUGCACACAUUGAGCGAUUCUCCUCCUGCCUGACUGCAGCACCACUGUGCUCAGCCCCACGAAAUGGGGGUCUGCAGGAGGGGACCUCCAGUCCUGGCUGGAGCUGGGGAUGUGCUGCUCGGCUGCGUGCUGCUGGUGAUGGCUGGGGGUCUGCAGAGCUGCCAUGCCUCCGUGGUGCUGAAGGGGAAGCAGGGACAGCCACUGUCCUUUCCGGAGCUGCGCCCCGUGGCUGAGGACAUCGUGAGGAUCACCUGGAUGUCUGAAAGGCACGGCACACACAUUGCCGAGGCCAAGCCUAGGGUGAAGGAGUUUGCAGUGGGUUUCCUGCCUGAAUUCCAAGACCGGCUGCGAAUCCAUCCCCAGGUACUGUCGCUGGAGAUCACAGAGCUGCGCAGCACAGAUAUAGGCCGGUACUCUGCAGUGGUGGACACCGCCUCCAAGCCCAGCAGCCCCAGUACAUUUUCCUACCUUGUGGUUCUCGAUCACCCCCCUGGGACAACUGACAGCGACACAGGAGGACACAGCAGGAGCACAUCUGGACCAACAAUGAGCUCUGAGCCCGGUGCUGGGGAGGGGACCACACUGGGCCCGGGCAAGGGGCAGCUCCCAGGUGCUGGGGAGGCUCCGGGGCCAUGUGGGGCACGGGGUGGGUACUGCAUGCUCAGGGGGUAUCUGGUGGCCUCUGUGUUUGGCCCACUGGUGGUGCUGCUAGUGGCUGUGCACGUGGUGACCAGGCAUUGAGACUGGGAGAUGAGUGGGACCCACACUGGGUUCCAGAGGGACAAGAGUGGGGUCUGAGCCCACCCAGAACAACCCCACAGUUCUCCCAUGAUCACUGCGUUCAACCAGACAGGAAAAGCCACAUUCACCACAUUCAGUGAAGCCUUGUGAGGGCAUGAAAUGCAUUUCCUCAUCUCUUGUACAAGCCCCAAACCCAGUGGCACUACUUCCUCCCAGUGGCCACACAAACCCCACUGUAUCCCAGCACUCCCAGUCCGGGAUCUCCUCCUUUAUGGGGUCAGCACUGAAUUCGUACCCACAGCCCUGAAUUUGGUGUGAGGUAACAAUUCAGCAUCUCAUCCAACCUUCCACAGUUUAUAAGAAGUGAAUUAUUUACUGGUGACCCCAACUAAACGCUGCACGGCAUAAAUUAUGGACGGGCAGAUCUGUCAAAAAGUUCUCAUAAAUAAGUGAUCCGGUGCCAUCUUCGUGUUCCCAGAAAAUUACUCAUCCAAUCUCCUGUCUAAAUGCUCUCCUGGGAAAACUCCUCACACCCGCUCUGCUGCUUUAUGAAUGGGAGUGGGAAGGUAAAGGGCAAUGGGGAGGGAGAACCCCGUGGGAUCCUCCCCACAUCCAUGUAAUGUUCAGAGCCUAUGGUGUAGGGUGGGGGGAGCUGCGGGGGUCACCCCUUGGGGACCUGGGGAGCACAGGGCAGUGUGGAUCCUGCCCUUCCCUAUGCAUCUCUUCCAUUUAUUGGGGGACACAUCCCCUCCAGCAAUACCACAGGGCUCCUCCAGAUCCAUGAGCAGAGCCCCAUCACAACUCCAUAGCAAUGCCCUGGGACAGAGAGAAAGCACUAAGGCACACCCCAUGUUCCCCACCACCCACCCCACCCCACCCCGCGUUUGCGUUAAUAAUUGAAUGCCAGUCUGGGGGACAAUGAUUUAUUUAAAGGAAACAACA
ensembl:lncRNA